UCAUUUUCAGAUUUCAAAUUUCGAAUUUCAAACUUUACCUCAUUACGCAAAAAUGGUUAUAGCACAGAAACUCAAGGAAGCAGAAAUUACAGAACAAGAUUCUCUAUUACUGACGAGAAACCUGCUUCGUAUUGCGAUAUUCAACAUCAGC